GUUCAAGUGACUCUAAGAGUCACUUGAACAGACUGCUAGGGAAGGAAGUCAUCAGGAGGAAAUCUGGACAUAGUUAGGAAAUGUGGAAGCAGUAAGAAGAUGCUGCUGGCGGAGCCUUGUCCUCACAAAGGACUUUGAUCGUCUCCAUAUCAGAAAUGCAGUGUGUGUGUGUGUGUGUGUGUGUUUAUGUAUUUAUCUACAUUCUUAGGUCAAUCGAACUUCAGAUGUGCAGAAAGAGUGCUCCGUUUGGAAGAAGUUCAACCUGACUUCUGAAUUCUGAGAUCACACUGCACAGCGCUUUUUUCCCACUAGACACUGGAUUCUGCCUUCAAGUCCUACUUCAGUAUGUACAUAGAAAUUCCACAGUGUUCCUUGCCAGGAAUUAUCCUGCAAAGGGCAAUCCUCA
rnacentral:lncRNA from 1 species